AUUGAACGCUGGCGGCAGGCUUAACACAUGCAAGUCGAGCGGAGCGAGGGUGCUUGCACCUUAGCUUAGCGGCGGACGGGUGAGUAAUGCUUAGGAAUCUGCCUAUUAGUGGGGGACAACAUUCCGAAAGGAAUGCUAAUACCGCAUACGCCCUACGGGGGAAAGCAGGGGAUCUUCGGACCUUGCGCUAAUAGAUGAGCCUAAGUCGGAUUAGCUAGUUGGUGGGGUAAAGGCCUACCAAGGCGACGAUCUGUAGCGGGUCUGAGAGGAUGAUCCGCCACACUGGGACUGAGACACGGCCCAGACUCCUACGGGAGGCAGCAGUGGGGAAUAUUGGACAAUGGGCGGAAGCCUGAUCCAGCCAUGCCGCGUGUGUGAAGAAGGCCUUUUGGUUGUAAAGCACUUUAAGCGAGGAGGAGGCUCUUAAGGUUAAUACCCUUGAUGAGUGGACGUUACUCGCAGAAUAAGCACCGGCUAACUCUGUGCCAGCAGCCGCCGUAAAAC
rnacentral:rRNA from 1 species